rnacentral:rRNA from 1 species
UACUGGGCGUAAAGCGCAUGCAGGUGGUUUGUUAAGUCAGAUGUGAAAGCCCGGGGCUCAACCUCGGAAUAGCAUUUGAAACUGGCAGACUAGAGUACUGUAGAGGGGGGUAGAAUUUCAGGUGUAGCGGUGAAAUGCGUAGAGAUCUGAAGGAAUACCGGUGGCGAAGGCGGCCCCCUGGACAGAUACUGACACUCAGAUGCGAAAGCGUGGGGAGCAAACAGGAUUAGAUACCCUGGUAGUCCACGCCGUAAACGAUGUCUACUUGGAGGUUGUGGCCUUGAGCCGUGGCUUUCGGAGCUAACGCGUUAAGUAGACCGCCUGGGGAGUACGGUCGCAAGAUUAAAACUCAAAUGAAUUGACGGGGGCCCGCACAAGCGGUGGAGCAUGUGGUUUAAUUCGAUGCAACGCGAAGAACCUUACCUACUCUUGACAUCCAGAGAACUUUCCAGAGAUGGAUUGGUGCCUUCGGGAACUCUGAGACAGGUGCUGCAUGGCUGUCGUCAGCUCGUGUUGUGAAAUGUUGGGUUAAGUCCCGCAACGAGCGCAACCCUUAUCCUUGUUUGCCAGCGAGUAAUGUCGGGAACUCCAGGGAGACUGCCGGUGAUAAACCGGAGGAAGGUGGGGACGACGUCAAGUCAUCAUGGCCCUUACGAGUAGGGCUACACACGUGCUACAAUGGCGCAUACAGAGGGCAGCAAGCUAGCGAUAGUGAGCGAAUCCCAAAAAGUGCGUCGUAGUCCGGAUUGGAGUCUGCAACUCGACUCCAUGAAGUCGGAAUCGCUAGUAAUCGUGGAUCAGAAUGCCACGGUGAAUACGUUCCCGGGCCUUGUACACACCGCCCGUCACACCAUGGGAGUGGGCUGCAAAAGAAGUAGGUAGUUUAACCUUCGGGAGGACGCUUACCACUUUGUGGUUCAUGACUGGGGUGAAGUCGUAACAAGGUAGCGCUAGGGGAACCUGGCGCUG